rnacentral:misc_RNA from 1 species
AUGUCACAGCAGAGGGUAUUGAGCAGGGCCUCAACAGCCUAGCUGAAGGUGGCACACCCCCUCGGUUUCUCAUCAUCGAUGAUGGCUGGCAGCAAAUUGGCGACGAGAAAAACAACCAAUCUGACACUUCUGUUGUGCAAGAAGGUGCACAGUUUGCAAGCCGUCUCGUUGGGAUUAAAGAGAACGCCAAAUUCCAAAACAAGAACGAGGGCAACAACCAGCCACCGGGCCUCAAGCUCGUUGUCGACCAAGCCAAGCGCCACCACAAAGUUAAAAGUGUCUACAUCUGGCACGCCAUGACUGGCUAUUGGGGAGGCGUGAAGCCCGCUGCUGAAGGAAUGGAGCACUACGACAGCUCCCUGGCCUACCCUGUCAGCUCCCCGGGCGUGAUGGGCAAUCAGCCAGACAUCGUCAUGGACAGCCUGGCCGUCCAUGGCCUUGGCCUCGUCCACCCGAAGAAAGUCUUCAAUUUCUAUGACGAGCUCCACCACUACCUCGCCUCCUGUGG